AUUUAUUUAGUUGGUACUCAAAAUAACACAAGAGAUUACCUUUUCCACAAAAGUUAUAUUUAUUUUUAAAUACACAACAAAGUUAGUUUUAGAAAACAUUGUUUUUUAAUUCCAUGUGAGUGGAACUCAGGGGACCUUAAAAAAAGAAAAAGACAACAAAGUUCUUCCAUAACAUCCCAGCAAUUUUCAAAUGAAAGAUACAGCUUUAUUACUAUAUUUAAAUACCUCUCCGGCACAAUCUCAGCACCUUGAAACACAAAUACAAGUACUAAGAGCCCCUGCACUAUAGCUCAUUUUUGAGGUGCAUCCUAUUCUCUAAAACCAGUUGAAGAGUAGGUUUCAUUCAAAUGUAUAUAUUUGUUGACAAUUGUGUAGUUUUUCCUGUUAUUCAUUCUUAAUAAUCCAGUCAUUACAAAUAUGUUAACUUCUGUUCAAUGGAAUUACAUGGUUACUGCUCCCUGUGACAAUAAUAAGAUGACGACUUUCUUUUCGGGUUUUAUUCCUGAAUGAUCAGUCAGUUUUAUAGUGAGAGCAAAUCUAAAAAAAACCAACCAAGACACUUUUCUUUCCUCUAUGGCACUAACAGAAGAAUAGAACCGAAUCAAUCAAUUUCACCUCAUUUUUAUAAGGAGAUAACUUGAAAAUGGUUCUUUAGAACUCAGCCAGUUCACAGUGCUAAUUUGAUAGCCUAAGUAGGUUGUCCUAAAUAGAUGCAAAUGUCUCCCUUUUCAGAGUGUUAAUUUUAAAGGAUUCAGUUAGUCCUUUUUCAUGCCUAGACUAGGAAAAUAUUUUAAACAUUCCACAAGAAUACCAAAACCAGCCCUGCCUUUUCACUGACAGAAUGAAAACUCCCAUUUGUGGAUAUUACCUAGAACAUAGAAAACAAAAGUUCCUAUACUGCUUCUCACAAUUACUCUGCUGAGUACCUUUGAAGAAUGGUGCAAAAUUCUGCUGCAUUCAAGACACAAGAUGUAGAACACAUCUAGAAGGAUGUUAAAUCAGGAAAUCAAGAAGUCUGGACAGCACUCCAGGAAAAGAAACAUUGAAGAAACCGAAAAUAGGAGAUACUUAGCCCAAAAUAGAAUGUAAAAGGAAGCAUACAAAGCAAUCUAAAAAUGUUGGGAUUUUUGUGGAGAAGAGUAGCCUUCUUGUUUUGCUACAGUAGAAGGCAGAACUGGGGCAGACGGUUGUGAUAAUUAAUGGUGGAUUUGGCCUCAGUACUAGAGUGAAAGAUGGUCUAGCAGAUAUCCAGGGCCUAUUAUGUGCCAGAAACUGUGCUAAAUGCUUUACAAAUACUAUUUCAAUACAAAAAUUAUCUCAUUUGAGACAAUAUUUGAGGAGAUCAGACCAGAUGACCUCUAAAGUCUUUUCAAGCUGUUUCCAUGAUGAAUCAUAAAUUAACUGGGGGAAACGUUCAAAGCUAACCAGAAAGCAGUUACAAAAAUAAAAUUCGAUUCUUGUGGAAAAUCCAACAGUAGCAGUCUACAUUUCUACCUUAGUCAUAUGUAGUAUUCUGAACAAAACUGAAUAGUCACUGGAGGGCUGAGGAUGCUGAAUGGUCUCAUCGUCAUCACAUUGAAUAGAAUGAAUUCUUAUCUUGUAGAAUUGUAGAGGUGGAAGGACUGAAUGUAUACUGACCUCAUGGUAUCCAUACCCUCCAUUUUAACUUGGCUUUAAACAUACAUCCCUAAAAUCCACUUUUUUUUUUUAAAGAAUCCAGUUUAUCAACACUGAAGUUUACUUUUACUAUGGCUGCCAUAUCCUAUUUGUCUUUUCUUCAUUUGCAUAUCAUGCUUUGUGUUUCCUAGGUCUGCAAGGUUUUUGUGUAAUUUCUCCUCAUCUUUCAGUUAUUCUAGAUGAAUUAAGAAGCAGAAAUUUCAAAAACAAAUCAAAGAUGAAAAAGUGAUCUAACUUUUGACUCAAUUCACAGAACCUGGAUAUCAAGUAUGAAUGUGAAGGCUAUCCUGCAUCGGUUGUCAACAGUACUACUCUCAGACUAACGUGUUAAAAGACAUCAGUGGAAAAGUACUUUAUGAAUAAAAGUAAUACUUGUGAGAAUGUAAACAUAACACAACCUCCUCCUAUGACCAAACUUCUCAAAAUCACAAGUGAUGGCACAUUCCAGCUAAUCUGCAUCUUACAAUGAUGUUAGGUCAGGCUAAUAACUUGCAAUAUAUGUCACAUAUCUAGCCUGUGAAUAAAGGAAAAGCAUUAGUCAGCAAACAGAAUGGAGUAGAAGUGUCUGCAUUUGAAAUAUAAGAUUUUCAGAACUUAAUGUUUAUGUGCACACCUGAAACCCAACAAGAUCACAUCUUAAUUAAAGUCACAGUUCUGCGUAAUUUACUCAGUCUGAAUAGCCUCCAGUCCACUGUUUACAAUCAUAAGUGAUAUACAGGAAUGUUUGAAGUUAAAUAAAAGACUAUUAAGAGAAUCACCCUAUUCAUGAAACAACCAUUUUUAUCCCGUUAAAAAGCUUUUGUUAGUGUUGAACACAGUUUCUUUGGAUGGGCUGUGGCAGCUUAUGGGUGAGAUGAGUGUUCAAUGCUGUCUUCCUCCUGAUGAGAUGGAACACCAGCAGGCUUUAUAACACCUAUUACUGUGUUACUAUUCCCUAAGUUCCUGCAUCUCUUACCAUCUAUGCCCUACAGACCCUGGGAAGUAGUAUCGGACCUACAUAUGUGGUCUAAGGAACCCUAGACCUGGACAUCGCCCUCACUACUGUACCCAUAGGACGUCCUGGCUUUUUUAUCUCUCUACAAACUCACAAUCUUUUCUGUGCUAUUUUCUCCAAUUAAAGUAUAGGCUCCUAGAGAGAAGAGACUAUUUAUUUCUAUUUGCAUUCCCCAGCCAGCUAAGCACAGUUCUUGACAAAUUAGUUUAUAAAUACUUUUUCAUUCAUUCAUAAUGAAUAUGUAAAGUUGUAGGGAAGAGUUGUGAGUUAUGCUUUUUGGGGGGGGAGGGGAGAAUGGGGAGAGCAGUAUGAAUGAACAGUCUGGCCCUAUUAGGACUCUUAAUAACAAGUAAGAUCACUUCAGAAAAUAUGCAAACACAAAUCUAUACAGACCCUGCUGAAAAAGCUUUCUUUAACAUGCUUUGGAUGGUAUGAUAACCAAAUAUCAAUAUUAUGCACCAGCGUGCUGAAUGUGCUUGAGUGUGGCUUUUAAACUACAUUAGGACCUGGUUAUUUCAAAUUAAAAAUAUCCCAAAGAAUGCAUGGCAUUUUCCAACAAAAAUCUAGCUUCAAGUUCAUUGUGAUUUUUUGCAGCUCUGGCACUGGCUGUAGAAAUAAUUCAUAGAAACAUUUUUUUUCCCUUUUCAUUUGGAGUGGAAGACUAAUGGCAGGGCUAGACAAGUAGGUAGAGAUGAAGAAGAGAAGUGGGUUCGGAUUUUCAAAGGUAAAGUCAAACUGUACUGGGCCCAGGGAUCACAAUCAAUUGGUUUUUUUUUUUGUUUUGUUUUGUGCUGUUGAUGAAUAAGGCAGUUUAGCAAUUGUUACUCAGAAAACGCUCCAUUUUCUUUUAGAGCAAACAUUUAAUUCAUCCUGGUUUCUCUCUCAAAGGCUAAUUGCUAAUGUUGCUCUCUUUCAGUUUAGGGUUUCCUUCUGUCUGACUUUAAUAUUUGAAGUUGGCAUGGAUACCCAUAAAUUUUACAACACCUGGAAAAAUAGUAUGAGAUACAUUCUAUGUGACAAGAAAACUGCUUGAUUUAUACCUCAUCAUAAUCAAUAUAAUUUUCUGCAAGCUUUGAAACACUCCAUAUAUCCACAGCUAUGUCCUUAAUAAUGUCCUUAAUUCCACAAGGGAAAAUUGGCCAAAUAGAAAGUAUUCCUCUACAGAGAAGCACAUCAAAACUUCUGGUAAUAAAAGGCAUCUGGCUGGCUACAGGCAUUGCAAUGCCCUUUAAGAGCUGAGAGAAAGAUGGGAAACACAGAUCAGCAAGCCUGCCUGUUAAGUACUGGGACAACAUCUGGCAAAGCAUGAAAACACCCCUGGACUGCUUUUUUUCCAAAACAUGUUAACCAAAUAUUACAGUAUCUGAGUUAAAAAAAAUUUUUUUUGACAAGCCUAUGAGACCUUGGUAGUCUGGAAUGCCCUAAAGUAGUAUUCAAUUUAUCAUUUGGUUUUUUGCCAAAUUCUAUCUCUUGGGAAAGUAUCUGCAAAGAAUCAGCUAACAAACAGCCAAAUCUAGAUUUCAUAGCUACCGAUGAGAUUCUCUACCUAAGAAGUGCCCGUGCUACCUACAGCAAAGUGAUUAAGACUAUUUUCAGUAUUGACUGUCAGAAAGAGAAAUAGCCAAAUUUUUCUAAGAUUGAGAGAUAACAAUCAACUUGCUUCCUUCAGUAGCUUUUAAUUCAAAUACAAUACUUUGAGGAAUUCUUCUUUGUUAAUAUUGGUUCUUGAUGACAAAAAUCACUAAAUUACUCCUGGAGGAGUGAAGCCCUCUUGUAGGACGCUGUUACAAAGCUUUCUUAUGUACAUGAUACUCUUUGUACUUAAGGCUUUUCUCAAUUUUGAUACAAUCCCUUUUCAGACUUUAUAAAUUUCCCAUAAAUUUUAAAACAGCUCUUCUCAAAGAAUAAAUUGGAUUUUAUCAUCUUCUUAACACAUCAAUUUUGUUUCUUUAAUCACAGUAAUCACAGUGGUGCUCCUGUGUUUCCUUUGGUUUAUGGGAAAUAGAUUCCACAGGUGAACUAGGAAUGGGAAUUCUAGAGAGACUUGGAGACUGGAGAAUUGGAAAGUGAGGUUCAGAAACCAACAAAUGGGGAGGUGGCUCAGUAAUAUGGCAAUGAGACAGAUUUUCAUGGGCAACUUGUGAACUCCAUCUCAUUACUUUCACAAUAACCUU